AGUUAAGUGACUAAGCGCACAAGGUGGAUGCCUUGGCAAUCAGAGGCGAAGAAGGACGUGCUAAUCUGCGAAAAGCUUGGAUGAGUCGAUAAGAGGCGUUUAAUCCAAGAUGUCCGAAUGGGGAAACCCAGUAGGUGAAGAACCUACUAUCACCCAGUGAAUACAUAGCUGUGUGAGGCAAACCGGGAGAACUGAAACAUCUAAGUACCCCGAGGAAAAGAAAUCAACCGAGAUUUCGUUAGUAGCGGCGAGCGAACGCGAAAGAGCCAGUUAGUGAUAGCAGUAAAGUUAGGGGAAUGUUCUGGGAAGGACAAUCGUAGAGGGUGAUAAUCCCGUACCUUAAAACUCCAUUGUGGUACUAGGCUAACAACAAGUAGGGCGGGACACGUGAUAUCCUGUUUGAAGAUGGGGGGACCAUCCUCCAAGGCUAAAUACUCCUGAUUGACCGAUAGUGAACCAGUACUGUGAAGGAAAGGUGAAAAGAACCCCGGCGAGGGGAGUGAAAUAGAACCUGAAACCUUGUGCGUACAAGCAGUGGGAGCAAGAGUAAUCUUGUGACUGCGUACCUUUUGUAUAAUGGGUCAGCGACUUAUAUUUUGUAGCAAGGUUAACUGAAUAAGGGAGCCGUAGGGAAACCGAGUCUUAACUGGGCGUGUAGUUGCAAGGUAUAGACCCGAAACCCGGUGAUCUAGCCAUGGGCAGGUUGAAGGUUGGGUAACACUAACUGGAGGACCGAACCGACUAAUGUUGAAAAAUUAGCGGAUGACUUGUGGCUGGGGGUGAAAGGCCAAUCAAACCGGGAGAUAGCUGGUUCUCCCCGAAAUCUAUUUAGGUAGAGCCUUGAGCGGACACCUUCGGGGGUAGAGCACUGUUUCGGCUAGGGGUCCAUCCCGGAUUACCAACCCGAUGCAAACUGCGAAUACCGAAGAGUGAUACUCAGGAGACACACGGUGGGUGCUAACGUCCAUCGUGGAGAGGGAAACAACCCAGACCGCCAGCUAAGGUCCCAAAGUCUAUAUUAAGUGGGAAACGAAGUGGGAAGGCUUAGACAGCUAGGAUGUUGGCUUAGAAGCAGCCACCAUUUAAAGAAAGCGUAAUAGCUCACUAGUCGAGUCGGCCUGCGCGGAAGAUGUAACGGGGCUCAAAUAUAGCACCGAAGCUGCGGCAUCAGACGAAAGUCUGUUGGGUAGGGGAGCGUUGUGUAAGUCGAUGAAGGUGGAUUGAGAAGUCUGCUGGAGAUAUCACAAGUGCGAAUGCUGACAUAAGUAACGAUAAAACGAGUGAAAAACUCGUUCGCCGGAAGACCAAGGGUUCCUGUCCAACGUUAAUCGGGGCAGGGUGAGUCGGCCCCUAAGGCGAGGCUGAAAAGCGUAGUCGAUG
rnacentral:rRNA from 1 species